AUCCCAACAUUUUACUCUUUCAUCAAUAGGAAUAAAAGAGAAAAUCAAGAAACUGAUAAUGACUUGACCUGUAAAGUAGAAAAAAUGCCAACUUUGUUCAAAGAUGUAGUUAUAUCGUCAGCGUUUCAGAGAAAAAAUAUCUCACAAUGCUCCUAGCUCUUCAGUAAUACAUGAGUGCUUAGUUGGUAACACGGCUUCAUUUAAUGUAUAUAUAUAAUUAAAUAUUUUUAUGUAUCA